UUCAAUGUUCUCUGUGAUCUGAUGUGGGUAUUUCCUCUGUAGAUGCAAAUUACAAUCUAUAAGGGCCUUCCUACUGCAUAUGACUCUUGUCCAUGAUCUCUCAUAUAUUUACCACGGGUGGUUUACCCAGCGUGUAUGAUGGAAGAGAAAGGAGGGAGCUUCCUAAUGCCUUCUUAACACUGUGAGACAUCAAUGGAACAAGCAUGCCAUUCACUGAAAUUCACCACAAGGAUUCCACUCAAGAUUCUGGAGGAUUUCCAUGUUGUCUCCUGACAUUAUGUCUGCAUGGGUUACCCAAAAAUUGUUUCUUACUCUUACCACAUGACCAGCACAUCUUCAUUUUAAGCAGAGAUUUCCCCAAGAAUGUUCACUCAAGUUCCUUUUCUUUUUUUACUCAAGUUCCUUGAACUUAUUACAUGAUGCUCAGCCUCUUUGUCCCCACUAUAAAUCUCCCUAUUAUCUUUGACAUAAUAUAAAUUUUUAAUUCCUCAAA